UAUCCCGGUAGACAACUCCAGCUCGGUAUAUCGCAUACUAAAGUAGUACCUGCACGGUAGACCACAUCGAGCUCGGUAAACCGCAUACUAUAGAAGCACGGUUUAUAGUUUAUGGUUUCACGAUCAAUAUUUUACAGCAAUAUGCCCAGCAACCCCAUUGCUCAAUAUUGCCAGCCAUACAUAAGCCACAUCGAGCAAGUAUUGGUCAAUAUUGUCAGCCAUAUUUCAGAAUGGAAACGCGUGUUGACGUGUAUUGACAUGUGGGCAAGAUGGAAAAUACGACAAUAUUGCCGGGUUAAGAGCUUUUGUGGAGUGGACGUCAGUGCAAAUCUGUGUCAGACUGUGUCGAGUUUGUGUUCUCACGCUAUGGCUAGUAUAGUUACCCUUACGCCGUUGAAUAAUGAAAACUAUAGACUUUAUCAACAGUAUUCAUUGCCAUCCUGAAAUGUGGGAUUUUAGUCAUCCCAAAUAUCCUGACCGUAAAAUAAAGAGAGACAUUUGGAAUAAGAUUGCAAAUGAAUAUGGCAUCACUUUGAAGACAGCACAAAGCAAGCUAAAAAGUCUGAGAACAUAAGCAAAGUGCGAGGCGAAGAAGCUACAAGCAAAAAAGAAAAGUGGAGGAGAGGCAACACCAUUGGAAAGCACAUGAAUGAUACGUUCACAUCUCAAGGAUCAUGCAACCAACCACCCUCAAGGAAGAAGCCCAAGACUUAUGAGUGAGAGGAACUAGUAUCACUGGCAUGUAAGUGUCUCUGUGAAACUGAUAAUGAGUACAUAAAAUUAACAACAGUUUGGGCAAUUGAGCUGCAGAAGAUGAGGCCGACACAACUCUUUGCCAAGAAGGUUAUAAAUAAUAUAUUAUUUGAAGGUCAAAUGGGAACAUUACAUCGACACACAGUUGUUAUAAAUGCACCAAUGAGUAGAGCAAGUACCCCAAUUAGCAAUCCACCUUCAGCCACUAGUGACUAUAUCAUAGAUUUAGACCCAGCAAAUGUGGUUGCUAAUAAUGUUACAUAGCUAUAAUGCUGAAGAGCAAAAAGCACUUGGCAAGUAAUUUUCUUCCUUCAAAUAGGGAUUAAUGAUAUGAUGAUAUAUUCAGUAUUACAUAUCAAACAUACAAUUGUGCCUUGCCUGCUCAACAGGUAUAUCAAUAUGGUGCAUUAGGACAAUAUUUCCUUCAAUACAGAAAGACAUAUACAAGGAUAUAUAUUUUCUUAAUACAGUAUACGAAUCAUAUCACAAAAGAAAUUGUCAUGUUCAUUUUCUACUGGACUAUUAACACACAAUGUUGGAUGUUGACAACAGUUGUCUUUAUGUUACUGUGCUAUCACCUUCAUUUCAUAUUAAGAAAUAUUACAUUUCCAUGUAAAAACCUUUUAGUUAUUUUCUCAACUGUAACAUGAGUACAGUACACAUGUGCAACCAAUGUUUCCUUUACAUAUCAGUACAUUAUUUGUAUAAAUCUCUUUAUCAUUCAUAAAAAUGUUUCAAACGUGAA